rnacentral:rRNA from 1 species
GACGAACGCUGGCGGCGUGCUUAACACAUGCAAGUCGAACGGAAAGGCCCUGCUUUUGUGGGGUGCUCGAGUGGCGAACGGGUGAGUAACACGUGAGUAACCUGCCCUUGACUUUGUGAUAACUUCAGGAAACUGGGGCUAAUACCUGAUAGGAUCUCCUGCUGCAUGGUGGGGGUUGGAAAGUUUCGGCGGUUGGGGAUGGACUCGCGGCUUAUCAGCUUGUUGGUGGGGUAGUGGCUUACCAAGGGUUUGACGGGUAGCCGGCCUGAGAGGGUGACCGGGCAAAUGGGGACUGAGAUACGGACCAGACUGCUACGGGAGGCAGCAGUGGGGAAUAUUGCAAAAUGGGAGGAAGACUGAUGCAGAAACGCCGCGUGCGGGAUGACGGCCUUCGGGUUGUAAAACGAUUUAGCAUGUGACGAAGCGUGAGUGACGGUAAUGGGUAAAGAAGCACCGGCUAACUACGUG